rnacentral:piRNA from 1 species
UGCUUGUAGAGAGAGAUGUGGGGGCGAGU